UCGGGGAGCCGAUCAGCGACCACCGCACCCUGUCA
rnacentral:antisense_RNA from 1 species